rnacentral:rRNA from 1 species
AUUGAACGCUGGCGGCAUGCUUUACACAUGCAAGUCGAACGGCAGCACGGGUGCUUGCACCUGGUGGCGAGUGGCGAACGGGUGAGUAAUGCAUCGGAACGUAUCCAAUAAUGGGGGAUAACGCAUCGAAAGGUGUGCUAAUACCGCAUACGCCCUGAGGGGGAAAGUGGGGGACCGUAAGGCCUCACGUUAAUGGAGCGGCCGAUGCCUGAUUAGCUAGUUGGUGAGGUAAAGGCUCACCAAGGCGACGAUCAGUAGCUGGUCUGAGAGGAUGAUCAGCCACACUGGGACUGAGACGCGGCCCAGACUCCUACGGGAGGCAGCAGUGGGGAAUUUUGGACAAUGGGCGCAAGCCUGAUCCAGCCAUGCCGCGUGAGUGAAGAAGGCCUUCGGGUUGUAAAGCUCUUUCGCAAGGGAAGAAAACUUAGUUCUUAAUACGAGCUGAGGAUGACGGUACCUUGAUAAGAAGCACCGGCUAACUACGUGCCAGCAGCCGCCGUAACAC